rnacentral:rRNA from 1 species
AUUGCCCCAGUAACGGCGAGUGAAGCGGCAACAGCUCAAAUUUGAAAUCUGGCCCCCAGGGCCCGAGUUGUAAUUUGUAGAGGAUGCUUUUGGCGCGGUGCCUUCCGAGUUCCCUGGAACGGGACGCCAUAGAGGGUGAGAGCCCCGUCUGGUUGGACACCUAGCCUCUGUAAAGCUCCUUCGACGAGUCGAGUAGUUUGGGAAUGCUGCUCUAAAUGGGAGGUAUAUGUCUUCUAAAGCUAAAUACCGGCCAGAGACCGAUAGCGCACAAGUAGAGUGAUCGAAAGAUGAAAAGCACUUUGAAAAGAGGGUUAAAUAGUACGUGAAAUUGUUGAAAGGGAAGCGUUUGUGACCAGACUUGGGCCCGGUUGAUCAUCCACCGUUCUCGGUGGUGCACUCUGCCGGCCCAGGCCAGCAUCAGUUCGCGCCGGGGGAUAAAGGCUUCGGGAAUGUGGCUCCUCCGGGAGUGUUAUAGCCCGUUGUGUAAUACCCUGGUGCGGACUGAGGUUCGCGCUCCGCAAGGAUGCUGGCGUAAUGGUCAUCAGCGACCCGUCUUGAAACACGGACCAAGGAGUCGUCUUCGUAUGCGAGUGUUCGGGUGUCAAACCCCUACGCGUAAUGAAAGUGAACGCAGGUGAGAGCUUCGGCGCAUCAUCGACCGAUCCUGAUGUUCUCGGAUGGAUUUGAGUAAGAGCAUACGGGGCCGGACCCGAAAGAAGGUGAACUAUGCCUGUAUAGGGUGAAGCCAGAGGAAACUCUGGUGGAGGCUCGCAGCGGUUCUGACGUGCAAAUCGAUCGUCAAAUAUGGGCAUGGGGGCGAAAGA